rnacentral:lncRNA from 1 species
GGAACGGCGCUCGGCGCUCAUCCUACAACAGAUCCCGCCUAUAGUUAUAGUGUCGAACACACAUAAGUAUAGGUUUUGUUGUCCUUACGACGGUUGUCAAAGACCGGAUCUUUGCACUUCGCGACCCUAUCCGAGUAUGUGCUUAGUGCAACGCCUCAUAGAACAAUGAAGUAAUGUAUCUAUACGCCCAAAAAGAAACUUGUUCAUUUAUGUUACCUGUUGUGGACCUUCAAUGUUUCACCUUUCAUAGAUCUGGGAAAGGCGGUUUUGGUUUGGGAAGUGACGUUGAGGCUGGGCACGUGCGAUAAGUAAUAAAGAAAGCAAAGGGAAAUCAGAGGGCCUGGAAAACAAACAGUAGAGUGACGCGAAGGACCUCUAGCAACUCUACAACCGCCCUUCCUACCAAAAAGCUAACCGAAAUCACAUAAGGUCUGGAAAGGGCUGUAAAGAAUAUAAUUCCUUCCUCCCUUUCUUCCCCUGUUCCGGAGAUAGAUAUAGCCCUCUCGAAACCUAGCUGUUAGAGUUUGAUUUUUUGGGGGGGUAAGUAAUAAACUGAAUCCCCGAAUGGGUACUUGAACCCUUCUCCUCCAAGGUAUAGAACAACUAAGGGUACUGGUCCUGCUCGCUUUGGUUCCAUCUGUCCACAUUCUUCCCUUCGGCUUGAUUACGAACGAAGAAAGAGACUUAAGGAGGGGCGCUAACCAUGUGUUACAGGCCGCAGAAGUGAAAUGCCAUUAUUAUCAAUGAUUAUUGAGUUGAUCCCCCGUUCCCAUCUUUCAAAGAAUAAAAAGUGUGACCCCGGCAAUCUCUCGCACUUGAAAAAUAGAUGCCGUAUAGCCGAUGGAGAAAUUCACUAUGAAAUUGAAUAGUUGAUUCAUUCAAUCAGGACCGCGAAAUAAUAUCAUAGUAGAUUUUUUCUAUGCCCUUCCUUUAAUGAAAAGCAGCUGAUUGGUAAUUAAUGUGCGCUCCUGUGGCCCAACACAUAGGCUUUUUCCUUGUUCUACCGAGAUGAACUAAAGAGCUCUAAAGCAUUGGCUUACUUAUUCGAUUAUUAACCGCAAAGCUUUCCACGAGGAGCCCAAAAAAGUCACACUAAUUUCAGAAUUAAGGGUAUACGAAACCGUGUUUUACAUGGCUGAGUGGAGGGUAACUCUGCGGACCCUACGGAGCCUCCAAAAAGGGACUGGAACCGCUCUACAGAUAUCUCUUUCGGAACGAGCCUUAACCGACGCUGCUGCUGCUACUGGUCUUGACACCAAAAAUGCUGUCGAUAGAGUUAAGUUAAAGCAAGCAUGCCGGCCGUAGAAAGAGCGUAAAAGCACACUCCCCUUG